GUUUUAAUAGUUUAAUAUAAAAUAAUGAUCUUGUAAAUCAUAGAUAGUGAUCACUUUAAAACU
rnacentral:tRNA from 1 species